AUGAGAUAUCGGCGGCCUCCCUCGAGGAGGACCGCCGGACGCAGUGAAUAUCCUAUCCUGGAACUGCCGGGGGGGAACCGCCGGACAGUUCGUGAGGUUUUGGCCCUCUCAAAAGCCAACAACCCCAAGCUAGUCUUUCUCUGUGAGACUAGGCAAGAAGCAUCUAAAGUGGAGAAGUUGAAGUGGAGAUUAGGCCUAAAGGGCUUUCAUGGUGUUAGUAGUGAUGGACGUAGUGGAGGCCUUGCUUUGUUC
rnacentral:rRNA from 1 species